rnacentral:rRNA from 1 species
UACGUAGGGACCGAGCGUUGUCCGGAUUCAUUGGGCGUAAAGAGCUCGUAGGCGGCCACUCAAGUCGAAUGUGAAACCUCGAGGGUUAACCUCGAGCCUGCAUUCGAUACUGGGCGGCUAGAGUCUGGUAGGGGGAUCUGGAAUUCCUGGUGUAGCGGUGGAAUGCGCAGAUAUCAGGAGGAACACCGAUGGCGAAGGCGGAUCUCUGGGCCUUACCUGACGCUGAGGCGCGAAAGCUAGGGGAGCGAACAGG